rnacentral:rRNA from 1 species
UAGGUAGGAGCCUUGGAAACCGGAGCGCCAGCUUCGGUGGAGGCAUCGGUGGGAUACUACCCUGGCUGUAUUGACCUUCUAACCCGCCGCCCUUAUCGGGCGGGGAGACAGUGUCAGGUGGGCAGUUUGACUGGGGCGGUCGCCUCCUAAAAGGUAACGGAGGCGCCCAAAGGUUCCCUCAGAAUGGUUGGAAAUCAUUCGCAGAGUGUAAAGGCACAAGGGAGCUUGA